rnacentral:rRNA from 1 species
AUGUUGCAGGCGGUCGCUGCUCGCGCCGCGCGCGUGUGGCGGAGGACGGACGCGAUGGUUUCCUUCGACAUCAACGACCGCAAGAAGAUUGGGCUGGGCUUGACUGGGUUUGGAGUUCUCUUCUCGUUUCUUGGGAUCCUCAUGCUGUUUGACAAGGGGUUCUUGGCAAUGGGGAAUAUUCUCUUCGUGUCUGGUGUUUCACUAACCAUUGGCCUGAAGUCAACUGUACAGUUCUUCACCAAGCCUAAGAAUCACAAGGGUUCGAUUGCUUUUGGGAUCGGACUUUUCCUCGUCCUCAUUGGUUGGCCUGUCUUCGGAAUGAUGGCGGAAUCGUAUGGCUUUGCCGUGCUGUUCAGCGGCUUCUGGCCUACUGCUGCUGUUUACCUGCAAAAGAACCCCACCGUCGGCUGGAUUUUCCAGCACCCUUACGUGACUUCGUUGCUCACCCGGUUCAGAGGCAGACGAGUCCCCGUGUGA